rnacentral:lncRNA from 1 species
AAUGGGAAGGGGACUAGAGGGAGAUGCCACAGGGGAAGGGGAAAGGGGAAUGGGAUUUGGAAUGGGAUUGGAGGGGGAUGCCUCAGGGGAUGGGGAAGGGGAAUUGGAAGGGGACUGGAGGGAGAUGCCACAUUGAAUCGGGAAAGGGGAAUGGGAUUUGGAAUAGGAUUGGAGGGAGAUGCCUCAGGGGAAGGGAAAGGGAAUGGGAAGGGGACUGGAGGGAAAUGCCACAGGGUAAGGGGAAAGGGGAAUGGGAUUUGCAAUGGGACUGGAGGGAGAUGCUGCAAGGCUGGGGAAAAGGGAAUGGGAAAGGGACAGGAGGGAAAUGCUGCAGGGGAAGGGGAAUGGGAUUUGGAAUGGGACUGGAGGGAGAUGCCACAGAGAAAGGGGAAAGGGGAAUGGGAUUUGGAAUGGGACUGGAGGGCGAUGCAGCAGUGGAAGGGAAAAGGGAAAUUGGAAUGGGAGUGGUGGGAUAUGGCGCAGGGGAAGGGGAUGGGGAAUAGGAAUGGGACAGGAGGGAGAUUCCUCAGGGGAAGGGAAACGGGAAUGGGAAGGGGACUGGAGGGAGAUGGCACAGGGAAAGGGGAAUGGGAUUUGGAAUGGGAUUGCAGGGAGAUGCCUCAGGGGAAGGGGAAAGGGGAAUGGAAUUUGGAAUGGGACUGGAGGGAGAUGCUGGAAGGGAGGGGAAAAGGGAAUGGGAAAGGGACAGGAGGGAAAUGCUGCAGGGGAAUGGGAAUGGGAUAUGGAAUUGGACUGGAGGGAGAUGUCUCAGGGGAAGGGGAAAGGGGAAUGGGAUUUGGAAUGGUAUUGGAGGGACAUGCCUCAGGGGAAGUGGAAAGGGAAUAGGAAGCGGAUUGGAGGGAGAUGCCACAGGGAAAGGGGAAAGGGGAAUGGGAUUUUCAAUGGGACUGGAGGGCGAUGCUGCAGGGCAAGUGGAAUGGGGAAUGGGAUUUUGAAUGGGAUUGGAGGGAGAUGCCUCAGGGGAAGGGGAAAGGGAAUAGGAAGGGCACUGGAGGGAAAUGCUGCAGGGGAAGGGGAAUGGGAAUGGGACUGGAAGGAGAUGCCUCAGGGGAAGGGGAAAGGGGAAUGGCAAUGCGAUUGGUGGGAUAUUGCGCAUGGGAAUGGGAAGGGGAAUUGGAAGGGGACUGGAGGGAGAUACCACAGGGCAAGGGGAAUGGGAAUUGGAAGGGGACUGGAGGGAGAUGGCACAGGGGAAGCGGAAAGGGGAGUGGGAAUGGGAAUGGGAGUGGUGGGAUACGGCGGAGGGGAAGGGGAAGGGGAAUUGGAAGGGCACUGGAGGGAAAU